rnacentral:ribozyme from 2 species
GCUGCUCUAAUAAUCACACACAUCUUCGUGGUGAGUAGUGGAAACGAUUUUAUGGUCGACUGAGAUGUGAUA